GCGACAAUCGAUAACACUGUCACGAGGCCCGGCAGCAGUCGCAACGCAACGCUUAUUUUGCAGGGCUUGCAAAAAAAAAAUUAAUUGAAAAAUGUGUAACAGAUUAAUAAAUCAAAUUUAAAUGGAUCGCAUUUUGUGGUGUCGUGAGCGUGAUUAGUCGUCAACAACCUUGAAAAACAACCAUGUGCAUGAUGAGAGCUUGUGAUGAGCACAAAUGCGAUUUGCAACAAGUGUUUGACUGCCGUUUGCCGCUUGACAGGAACGAGUUUUCUUUUGCUGCUGUGCUUCUACUCGAAAUAUCCAGAAUGCGAAAUUAGCCUGAUGAUGUAAUCUGAAUGUGCCAGUUUUUGACGAAAUAUAUACAUAUGUAUGUUGUAUGACAAAAAAAAAUGUGCAGGGCAGUCGCUGCGACCGUGAUAAAGUCAGCCGUCCGGCCGUACCCGUCUUGUCUUAUCGUAUUGGCCAAAUGCUUGACAAUAAAUUAGAUUUUGUGUGCAUAUUUAGAAAAAUAUAAAUAGAUGAUAUGCCAUCCACUCCAACGUUGCCUGCCACGGCACCCGGGUCCCAUGAUGUUGCAAAAACGCAACUCACAUAAUUGUGUGAUUUAUAUCACAACAAACAGCGGGCAUUAUUGAGGGUUCUUUCGACUCUUCACGAGCUGGGAACGCGCCUAACUCAGUGGAAGGCAAUCCGAGUGCCAAAAAAAAA